UACGUAGGGUGCGAGCGUUAAUCGGAAUUACUGGGCGUAAAGCGUGCGCAGGCGGUUUUCCAAGACAGAUGUGAAAUCCCCGGGCUCAACCUGGGAAUGGCAAUGGAGACUGCAAGGCUAGAGUGUGUCAGAGGGGGGUAGAAUUCCACGUGUAGCAGUGAAAUGCGUAGAUAUGUGGAGGAAUACCGAUGGCGAAGGCAGCCCCCUGGGAUAACACUGACGCUCAUGCACGAAAGCGUGGGGAGCAAACAGG
rnacentral:rRNA from 1 species